UGGUUCAGGCAUUCUUUAAGGAACUAAGUC
rnacentral:piRNA from 1 species